rnacentral:lncRNA from 1 species
AAACUUAGUUUUCAAAACUCCACAAAGUUCUUAAAGUUACUCAUUUCAUUCAGAUGUUCCUUUGCUCUUAUUUACUUGAAUUAUUUGUGGUUUUUAAGUGUUUAGAGACUGAAACGCCGAAAAGCGUCCGGAAUGACGGCGAGGAGUCUUCGUGGUCGCUGUCAGGUCGGGGCAGAAAGAGAAGCUCUGCUGACCUGGCGGAGACGGAGGAAGUGUCUUCAGAGUGUCAGGAGUUCAUUUAAAUUCGCCUCUGCAUUGUGAGCAGGACCAAUGGCGAGAAGCAACCCCGCCCCCUUUCCCUCUCCUCGUUGCUGAGAGUUUAGAUCUCAGUAUAUUCUCUACAUCAGAAAGACGAUCUUUUUCAGUCUGCAUUUGUACGUCUGC